rnacentral:lncRNA from 1 species
AGGAAUACAAAAUCUCCGACUCUAACGAGACACUAAUGAAAAUAUGAGAGAUAGACAAUUUUAAUUUUAUUCUUGUUUGUCAAGAGAGGAUUAAUUUUGUUCUUCAUAAUAAAACAUACCUAAUUUUCUCUCGGAACUUGCAAUGUUUGAAGUGGAUUAUUUACGUACCGUCUUUUGCUUGGAAAAAUAUAUCCACUCAUUGUA